rnacentral:rRNA from 1 species
GACGAACGCCGGCGGCGUGCUUAACACAUGCAAGUCGAACGGUAAGGCCCUUCGGGGUACACGAGUGGCGAACGGGUGAGUAACACGUGGGUGAUCUGCCCUGCACUUCGGGAUAAGCCUGGGAAACUGGGUCUAAUACCGGAUAGGACCACUGCCUGCAUGGGUGGUGGUGGAAAGCUUUUGCGGUGUGGGAUGGGCCCGCGGCCUAUCAGCUUGUUGGUGGGGUGAUGGCCUACCAAGGCGACGACGGGUAGCCGGCCUGAGAGGGUGACCGGCAACACUGGAGCUUGGAUACUGCCCAGACCCCUACGGGAGGCAGCAGUGAGGAAUAUUGCACAAUGGGCGCAAGCCUGAUGCAGCGACGCCGCGGGAGGCAUGACGGCCUUCGGGUUGUAAACCUCUUUCAUCACCGACGAAGCGCAAGUGACGGUAGGUGCAGAAGAAGGACCGGCCAACUACGUGCCAGCCGCCGCAGUAA